rnacentral:rRNA from 1 species
GUAGUCCAUGCCGUAAACGUUGGGCACUAGGUGUGGGGGACAUUCCACGUUUUCCGCGCCGUAGCUAACGCAUUAAGUGCCCCGCCUGGGGAGUACGGCCGCAAGGCUAAAACUCAAAGGAAUUGACGGGGGCCCGCACAAGCGGCGGAGCAUGCGGAUUAAUUCGAUGCAACGCGAAGAACCUUACCAAGGCUUGACAUGAACCGGACCGCCGCAGAAAUGUGGUUUCCCCUUUGGGGUCGGUUUACAGGUGGUGCAUGGUUGUCGUCAGCUCGUGUCGUGAGAUGUUGGGUUAAGUCCCGCAACGAGCGCAACCCUCGUUCUAUGUUGCCAGCACGUGAUGGUGGGGACUCAUAGGAGACUGCCGGGGUCAACUCGGAGGAAGGUGGGGACGACGUCAAAUCAUCAUGCCCCUUAUGUCUUGGGCUUCACGCAUGCUACAAUGGCCGGUACAAAGGGUUGCGAUACUGUGAGGUGGAGCUAAUCCCAAAAAGCCGGUCUCAGUUCGGAUUGGGGUCUGCAACUCGACCCCAUGAAGUCGGAGUCGCUAGUAAUCGCAGAUCAGCAACGCUGCGGUGAAUA